CAAAAACAUAGCUUUUUGGUGAAAGUAAAAAGUAGGGUCUGCCCGGUGAGUAAUUUUAACGGCCGCAAUAUUUGUGCUAAGGUAGCAUAAUAAUUUGUCUUUUAAUUGAUGACUAGAAUGAAGGGUUGGACGGGGAAUAGCUGUCUUAAAUAUUUUUAUUUUAAAUUUACUUUCAAGUAAAAAGGCUUGAAUUUUUUAGUGGGACGAGAAGACCCUAUAGAGUUUUAUAAAAUUUAUUUAAAUUUUUCUUAAAUUUUUUUAUUAAUUAUUUGGUUGGGGUGAUUAAUUAAUAAGAUCUAUUUUAGAAUUAAUAGACUUUAAGUUUUUAGGAUCCAUAUUUUAUGAGUGUUAAGGUAAAUUACCUUAGGGAUAACAGCGUAAUAUUUUUUUAGAGUUCUUAUCGAUGAAAGUGAUUUCGACCUCGAUGUUGGAUUAAGGAACUUAAUUUAGAGAAGAUUUUAAUUUAAGUAGUCUGUUCGACUAUUAAAUCUUUAC
rnacentral:rRNA from 1 species